GCUGAAGAACGUAGUGAAAUGCGAUAAGUAAUGUGAAUUGCAGAAUUCAGUGAAUCAUCGAAUCUUUGAACGCAUCUUGCGCUCCUUGGUAUUCCUUGGAGCAUGCCUGUUUGAGUAUCAUGAGCAAAUCUCAAAGUCAAUUCCUUUUGUUGAUUCAAUUGGUUUUGCUUUGGACUUGGAGGCCUUGCAGAUUUCACAGUCUGCUCCUCUUAAAUGCAUUAGCUGGAUCUCAGUAAUUAUGCUUGGUUCCACUCGGCGUGAUAAGUAUCACUCGCUGAGGACACUGUUAAAAAGGUGGCCAGGAAAAUACUGAUUGAACCGCUUCUAACGGUCUAUUAAGUUAGACAAUUACCCUUAAGUUUGAUCUCAAAUCAGGUAGGACUACCCGCUGAACUUAAGCAUAUCAAUAAGCGGAGGA
rnacentral:misc_RNA from 1 species